rnacentral:rRNA from 1 species
AAAUUGAAGAGUUUGAUCAUGGCUCAGAUUGAACGCUGGCGGCAGGCCUAACACAUGCAAGUCGAACGGUAACAGGAAGCAGCUUGCUGCUUUGCUGACGAGUGGCGGACGGGUGAGUAAUGUCUGGGAAACUGCCUGAUGGAGGGGGAUAACUACUGGAAACGGUGGCUAAUACCGCAUAAUGUCGCAAGACCAAAGAGGGGGACCUUCGGGCCUCUUGCCAUCAGAUGUGCCCAGAUGGGAUUAGCUUGUUGGUGAGGUAACGGCUCACCAAGGCGACGAUCCCUAGCUGGUCUGAGAGGAUGACCAGCCACACUGGAACUGAGACACGGUCCAGACUCCUACGGGAGGCAGCAGUGGGGAAUAUUGCACAAUGGGCGCAAGCCUGAUGCAGCCAUGCCGCGUGUAUGAAGAAGGCCUUCGGGUUGUAAAGUACUUUCAGCGGGGAGGAAGGUGUUGUGGUUAAUAACCGCAGCAAUUGACGUUACCCGCAGAAGAAGCACCGGCUAACUCCGUGCCAGCAGCCGCGGUAAUACGGAGGGUGCAAGCGUUAAUCGGAAUUACUGGGCGUAAAGCGCACGCAGGCGGUCUGUCAAGUCGGAUGUGAAAUCCCCGGGCUCAACCUGGGAACUGCAUUCGAAACUGGCAGGCUUGAGUCUUGUAGAGGGGGGUAGAAUUCCAGGUGUAGCGGUGAAAUGCGUAGAGAUCUGGAGGAAUACCGGUGGCGAAGGCGGCCCCCUGGACAAAGACUGACGCUCAGGUGCGAAAGCGUGGGGAGCAAACAGGAUUAGAUACCCUGGUAGUCCACGCCGUAAACGAUGUCUACUUGGAGGUUGUGCCCUUGAGGCGUGGCUUCCGGAGCUAACGCGUUAAGUAGACCGCCUGGGGAGUACGGCCGCAAGGUUAAAACUCAAAUGAAUUGACGGGGGCCCGCACAAGCGGUGGAGCAUGUGGUUUAAUUCGAUGCAACGCGAAGAACCUUACCUGGUCUUGACAUCCACAGAACAUUCCAGAGAUGGAUUGGUGCCUUCGGGAACUGUGAGACAGGUGCUGCAUGGCUGUCGUCAGCUCGUGUUGUGAAAUGUUGGGUUAAGUCCCGCAACGAGCGCAACCCUUAUCCUUUGUUGCCAGCGGUCCGGCCGGGAACUCAAAGGAGACUGCCAGUGAUAAACUGGAGGAAGGUGGGGAUGACGUCAAGUCAUCAUGGCCCUUACGACCAGGGCUACACACGUGCUACAAUGGCGCAUACAAAGAGAAGCGACCUCGCGAGAGCAAGCGGACCUCAUAAAGUGCGUCGUAGUCCGGAUUGGAGUCUGCAACUCGACUCCAUGAAGUCGGAAUCGCUAGUAAUCGUGGAUCAGAAUGCCACGGUGAAUACGUUCCCGGGCCUUGUACACACCGCCCGUCACACCAUGGGAGUGGGUUGCAAAAGAAGUAGGUAGCUUAACCUUCGGGAGGGCGCUUACCACUUUGUGAUUCAUGACUGGGGUGAAGUCGUAACAAGGUAACCGUAGGGGAACCUGCGGUUGGAUCACCUCCUUACCUGAAAGAAGC